AGGUGGGAAGAAUCUAAACCAACAUCUUUCAGCUGUUUGCCAAAUUACAAUCAUUCAGCUGUGAAACCCAGCUCAGUUAAUGCCCCUAACUAGAAAGAGUAAACCCUGCAGGACAUCAGAGAUCACAGAGCAAAGGUCAGGGCUGGGAAACCAAAUGCAGGAGAGGACAAAGUGCAAUCCCAGAACCAAGAGGCUGACAAGAAAAAGCUCAGGUAUGGAAUAAAAAGCUGCUGGGGAACAGAGAUCAUGGCACAGCUAUCAAGCAUCAGCAGAGCAAACAGCAAAGGCAAGAAUACACCUGCUUCAGCACACCAGUGUAUGUCAAACAUACUGAGGAGAAAAACAAAACCACCAAACCCAUCCAAACCACAGAAAAUGGGAAAAAGAUGUAAGUUUUAAACUAUGGUAAGUCACAGGUGCAACAGUUAAGUAUUUGCACACACUUAAUGUGGCCCCUAUGUUUUAAACCCAUCUUAAAAAGCUGUUAAGUGACUGAUUUCCCACAAAGCUCCUCACCAAAUUAUUUUCAGGAAUGCCAAACUACAUAUGCAUAAUAUUUCACAAUGUACCCAGGUUUUACAAGGAAAAUCUCCCCCAAAAAAAAAUUAAUCUAAAGAGGGCUACUCAGGCAGUCCCUACUCUUAAUUCCUCUCCCUUUCUUGGGAUCAACCACUAUUCUUUGUGUUACAGAGACUUCUUAGAAGCUGUAGAAAAGAAAGGACAAUGUAAGACAAUUUCCAUGGAGACUGCUAACAUGUAUCUUCAGCUCACUGAUCUAGAAGCUGCCCUGAUUCAAGGCAGGGGGUUUUAGGCUCUUAAAACUCUGCAAGCUCUUCUCAAAGCUCUUAAAGCUUUCCAGCUCCCCAGGCAAGUUGCCUAACCUGUAUUUAAAACCUCUUAGUGGAAGCCAGGAACCAGUUUCUCAAGGUGUGGUUUUGCUCCCAUUCAGUUCUCAGGGAAGCAGGACAAUUAUGCUCCCCCAACAACCCAGCCUGCUUAUUCCUGCCUCACAGACCAUCCCCUAAACUCUGCAGGAAAAGCAAAAUACUGCACAUCUACAAAUGGGGAGGAAACUAAUCCUCUGCUUCUAUAUGAACUAUUAAGAGUCUGUUGUCAUACUUUUACACCUGUUGUGCCUAUAAUCCAAUACAGCUGUUAAGAGCUGGGGAGGGUGGGAGGGAGAGGAGCCUCAUUUUUAGAGCCAUCUAAUUAAAAACCUCAGCUGUACCUCCUGAAGCAGCACAGCCACGUUUAAAACACUGAGCCUAUUAUACCCUGUUAGCCACCACGUGGGAGCAAGAGCUUUUUUCAUAGACAAACUUCUGUAUUUGCCUAAAGAAAUACUCAUAACCUUCCUCAAGAUAAGAAUUUUUUUUCCCCAUGCCUCCUGGAAAUUCUGCUUCUGGAGCAGAAUACAGGCAGACAAAAACACAGAUGGAAAUGGAGAACACUCUCAGGCUAGCCCAACAUAUCCCUGAGCAGUGCCACACUCCAAAACAGAGAAAAGAGGAAGGAAGCACAAUUUAUUCACAGUUUCCUGGUGGAAUGACAGGCUAAAGCCAUGUGACUAUGUUACAAUGAGUUAGCAUGUUUCUAUAGCUUGGAGAAAGACACAGGUUCCAUCUCCUAAAGCAACAAGUGGGUGCCACACAGUGCUAGCACAGCAGCUUGUCCAGGAGCAAGUCCCAGAGCAUCCCUGGUGUUCCAAAGGAAGAAAAACCCCAGUUUUGCACUUCCUGCUGCUCAGCAUCCCUUAUUUAAAUCCUGCCUUUCAAAACCAAGCAGCGUCAGUAAAAUUUGGAUGCUGUGGCACUGUUCCAAG